CGACUAUUUAUAAUACUAUUUUUCAAAUAUUUUUUUUUCUACAAUAUAAACAAAUGAGCCCAGCUCACACUGCUGUCUACAGCAAUAAUAAUAUUCUUUUGAAUCUAUAAUAGAACUAUGUCCAUCUCUUCAUAUAUUUUUAAAUUUCAAAAUAUUUUGUAUGUGUGCAUUGGCGAGUUUCAGCAAGAAUUAAUACGGCGCAGCGAUGAUGGUCAAAUAAAUAUAUUCAUGCUUAGGAGUUAGGGAAGCGUCAAAUAUACGUUUCUGCUAGAAAAGCUAAUCUCUCAUUUCUAUUCCCUUGGCCUCCAAAUAUAAGAC
rnacentral:lncRNA from 1 species